rnacentral:lncRNA from 1 species
UCCUUUGCUGAUAGGGCCUGCGUGCUGAUAGUUGAUUCAGUGAAUAUAUGUAGCAGUGAUAGCUCAUGGGCUCCAGAGGUCAGAUAUCUUAUUCUCUAGGCUGAAACCCUUGUUGCUUUAAGGAAACAGGAUUUUAAUAGGAAUCACAUGCAGAUUGACUACAGGGAGCCAAGCGGUAGUGGAAGAAGCAAAGUUGGCGGUUUUGGAGACGGACGUCUAUCUAUCCACAGUGGGACAAAAAUGAAGGUUAUUGAAAAGAAUCAUGCUUGGUGGAAGAAGUAAUUACAUUUUUUUUUCAAAUCUCAGAGGAAUAAUGCUUUUAUAUUUCCUGCGAUGACCCAAUUUGCACUACGAUAUGCUCCCUUAAAU